UCCUAUGGAUGAGCAAAGAAAGUGGUUUCUUGAGAUGGAAUCUACUCCUGGUGAAGAUGCUGUGAA
rnacentral:pre_miRNA from 2 species